rnacentral:rRNA from 1 species
UACGGGGGGGGCAAGCGUUGUUCGGAAUUACUGGGCGUAAAGGGCUCGUAGGCGGCCAACUAAGUCAGACGUGAAAUCCCUCGGCUUAACCGGGGAACUGCGUCUGAUACUGGAUGGCUUGAGUUUGGGAGAGGGAUGCGGAAUUCCAGGUGUAGCGGUGAAAUGCGUAGAUAUCUGAAGGAAUACCGGUGGCGAAGGCGGCAUCCUGGACCGACAUUGACGCUGAUGAGCGAAAGCUAGGGGAGCAAACGGG